rnacentral:rRNA from 1 species
GUGGUUUAAUUCGAAGCAACGCGAAGAACCUUUACCAGGUCUUGACAUCCCGAUGCUAUUCUAGAGAUAGAAAGUUACUUCGGUACAUCGGUGACAGGUGGUGCAUGGUUGUCGUCAGCUCGUGUCGUGAGAUGUUGGUUAAGUCCGCAACGAGCGCAACCCCUAUUGUUAGUUGCCAUCAUUCAGUUGGGCACUCUAGCGAGACUGCCGGUAAUAAACCGGAGGAAGGUGGGGAUGACGUCAAAUCAUCAUGCCCCUUAUGACCUGGGCUACACACGUGCUACAAUGGUUGGUACAACGAGUUGCGAGUCGGUGACGGCGAGCUAAUCUCUUAAAGCCAAUCUCAGUUCGGAUUGUAGGCUGCAACUCGCCUACAUGAAGUCGGAAUCGCUAGUAAUCGCGGAUCAGCACGCCGCGGUGAAUACGUUCCCGGGCCUU